rnacentral:rRNA from 1 species
GAAAUUCCAAUCGAACUUGGAGAUAGCUGGUUCUCUCCGAAAUAGCUUUAGGGCUAGCCUCAAGUGAUGAUUAUUGGAGGUAGAGCACUGUUUGGACGAGGGGCCCCUCUCGGGUUACCGAAUUCAGACAAACUCCGAAUGCCAAAUAAUUUAACUUGGGAGUCAGAAUGUGGGUGAUAAGGUCCAUAUUCGAAAGGGAAACAGCCCAGACCACCAGCUAAGGUCCCAAAAUAUAUGUUAAGUGGAAAAGGAUGUGGCGUUGCCCAGACAACUAGGAUGUUGGCUUAGAAGCAGCCAUCAUUUAAAGAGUGCGUAAUAGCUCACUAGUCGAGUGACACUGCGCCGAAAAUGUACCGGGGCUAAACAUAU